rnacentral:rRNA from 1 species
AACGAACGCUGGCGGCAUGCCUAACACAUGCAAGUCGAACGAGACCUUCGGGUCUAGUGGCGCACGGGUGCGUAACGCGUGGGAACCUGCCCUUAGGUUCGGAAUAACUCCCCGAAAGGGGUGCUAAUACCGGAUAAUGUCUUCGGACCAAAGAUUUAUCGCCUUUGGAUGGGCCCGCGUUGGAUUAGCUAGUUGGUAGGGUAAAAGCCUACCAAGGCGACGAUCCAUAGCUGGUCUGAGAGGAUGAUCAGCCACACUGGGACUGAGACACGGCCCAGACUCCUACGGGAGGCAGCAGUGGGGAAUAUUGGACAAUGGGCGAAAGCCUGAUACAGCAAUGCCGCGUGAGUGAUGAAGGCCUUAGGGUUGUAAAGCUCUUUUACCCGGGAUGAUAAUGACAGUACCGGGAGAAUAAGCACCGGCUAACUCCGUG